ACUCCUACGGGAGGCAGCAGUAGGGAAUCUUCCACAAUGGACGAAAGUCUGAUGGAGCAAUGCCGCGUGAGUGAAGAAGGUUUUCGGAUCGUAAAACUCUGUUGUUGAAGAAGAACAUAUGUGAGAGUAACUGUUCACGUACUGACGGUAUUCAACCAGAAAGCCACGGCUAACUACGUGCCAGCAGCCGCGGUAAUAC
rnacentral:rRNA from 1 species